rnacentral:lncRNA from 1 species
UUUGCACUGAUGCUCUCACGGACUCUUUCUUAAAGCACUUUAUGCAUUUUAAUCACCUUCGGACUUUCCGAAGCCUACUCACUCGACAAUUUGUCGAUUCUAAAUGAAGUCUAAUCCUCGAAUUUCGAUAAUUCACUUCCUUACAUCCUCCCCACCUUAAAAGAGUUUCGUUCUCGAAACGAACUCAAUACUACUAAACUUAUUUAGAAUCUUAAAUUCUAAGCUCAUA